rnacentral:misc_RNA from 1 species
AAAAAGAUGUACUAAUAUAAUAAAUUAAAGAGACGUUUUAUUACGCAACUAAACAGCACCCACAUUUUAAACAACUUGUUCCUUAGAUAUCAAAAGUCUAAAAAAAGAAAAAGGUUCUGUUCUGCCUAUCUACCACCGAAAAUAAACAUGUUAAUUCCUCUCCAGCCCCACAAAAAUUCAGACACCAAAAGAGAGGAGGUGGAGGGACCUCUUCUGUAUUUUUUGCUUAAAACUAAAUAAACUAACAGGUGCCAUUGAAGUUGACAUUGUUGCGUUUUGAUGCAGCCAUUGUGCUGCAACCAGAAUCACGUGCCCUCUUCUUUGCAGUUGGAGUUUCAUCACCCAUCAUCUUUGCUAAAUCUCUACCAAACAUAUCCACAAACGUCUUCUGCAAAUCCUCUAGACUCUCCUCCGCUGCUCCAACAUUUUGAUCCAUUCGGUUUAUCAAAUCAUGCAGGAAAUCACCCAUUCCUUCAUCUUCCUCAAACAUAUCGAGGAAACCGGCGUCGUACAUUGACCUCUUGUCUUGAUCGGAGAGAACUGAAUAAGCCUCUUGGAUUUUCUGAAAUCGGAGUUUCGCUUCACCGGCCAGCGCUGGAUUCUUCGCCCACCUAUCCGGGUGCCAUUUCAGAGCUAGUUUCCGAUAAGCUGAGCGAAUGUCGGAGCAGGAGGCGUCGUUGCGUACCCCUAGAACUGAAUAAUAACAAGAUCCGGCUGAUCCUCCUUCUCGAUCCAUAACCGCUUUUUGUUAUGUCUCUAAGCCAGAGCCAAAAUCCCAAAAAAUUGUUGCGAAAACUGAAACUGUACCUAAAUUGACGGGUACAGAGUAGAGAAAAAAAAUUUAUUAAUUCAAUUAAACCAUAGAUAAAUGCAGUUCCAAACCAGAGAGAAACUGGGGCAAUAAUUUUGAUAAUUUGGAGAGGAAAAAAAAUGAUGGGAGGCAGAAAGGCAAAUGUGUAACGUAAAGAAGAUGCUUUUGUAAGGUUUGUGUUAUAGGAAAAAACGAUGAAA